GACGAACGCUGGCGGCGUGCCUAAUACAUGCAAGUAGAACGCUGAAGGAGGAGCUUGCUCUUCUGGAUGAGUUGCGAACGGGUGAGUAACGCGUAGGUAACCUGCCUGGUAGCGGGGGAUAACUAUUGGAAACGAUAGCUAAUACCGCAUAACAGUAGAUAUUGCAUGAUGUCUGCUUGAAAGGUGCAAAUGCAUCACUACCAGAUGGACCUGCGUUGUAUUAGCUAGUUGGUGAGGUAACGGCUCACCAAGGCGACGAUACAUAGCCGACCUGAGAGGGUGAUCGGCCACACUGGGACUGAGACACGGCCCAGACUCCUACGGGAGGCAGCAGUAGGGAAUCUUCGGCAAUGGACGGAAGUCUGACCGAGCAACGCCGCGUGAGUGAAGAAGGUUUUCGGAUCGUAAAGCUCUGUUGUAAGAGAAGAACGAGUGUGAGAGUGGAAAGUUCACACUGUGACGGUAUCUUACCAGAAAGGGACGGCUAACUACGUGCCAGCAGCCGCGGUAAUACGUAGGUCCCGAGCGUUGUCCGGAUUUAUUGGGGCGUAAAGCGAGCGCAGGCGGUUAGAUAAGUCUGAAGUUAAAGGCUGUGGCUUAACCAUAGUACGCUUUGGAAACUGUUUAACUUGAGUGCAAGAGGGGAGAGUGGAAUUCCAUGUGUAGCGGUGAAAUGCGUAGAUAUAUGGAGGAACACCGGUGGCGAAAGCGUCUCUCUGGCUUGUAACUGACGCUGAGGCUCGAAAGCUUGGGGAGCAACAGG
rnacentral:rRNA from 1 species